rnacentral:rRNA from 1 species
GACGAACGCUGGCGGCGUGCCUAAUACAUGCAAGUAGAACGCUGAAGGAGGAGCUUGCUCUUCUGGAUGAGUUGCGAACGGGUGAGUAACGCGUAGGUAACCUGCCUGGUAGCGGGGGAUAACUAUUGGAAACGAUAGCUAAUACCGCAUAACAGUAGAUGUUGCAUGACAUUUACUUAAAAGGUGCAAUUGCAUCACUACCAGAUGGACCUGCGUUGUAUUAGCUAGUUGGUGGGGUAACGGCUCACCAAGGCGACGAUACAUAGCCGACCUGAGAGGGUGAUCGGCCACACUGGGACUGAGACACGGCCCAGACUCCUACGGGAGGCAGCAGUAGGGAAUCUUCGGCAAUGGACGGGAGUCUGACCGAGCAACGCCGCGUGAGUGAAGAAGGUUUUCGGAUCGUAAAGCUCUGUUGUAAGAGAAGAACGAGUGUGAGAGUGGAAAGUUCACACUGUGACGGUAUCUUACCAGAAAGGGACGGCUAACUACGUG